rnacentral:rRNA from 1 species
CUUGUAACACGGACCAAGGAGUCUGACAUGCGUGCGAGUCGACGGGUUCUGAAACCUGGGAUGCGCAAGGAAGCUGACGAGCGGGAGGCCCUUACGGGCCGCACCGCUGGCCGACCCUGAUCUUCUGUGAAGGGUUCGAGUUGGAGCACGCCUGUCGGGACCCGAAAGAUGGUGAACUAUGCCUGAGCGGGGCGAAGCCAGAGGAAACUCUGG